rnacentral:rRNA from 1 species
GACGAACGCUGGCGGCGUGCUUAACACAUGCAAGUCGCACGGGACUGGGGGCAACUCCAGUUCAGUGGCGGACGGGUGCGUAACACGUAAGCAACGUGUCCAGGGGUGGGGGAUAGCCGGCCCAACGGCCGGGUAAUACCGCAUGCAGUCACUGGCGGCAUCGCUGGUGACGAAAGCCGGGGCAACCUGGCGCCCAUGGAGCGGCUUGCGGCCUAUCAGCUAGUUGGUGAGGUAACGGCUCACCAAGGCUACGACGGGUAGCUGGUCUGA